GGACAGCACUGUGCCUUGGUCUCCAGGGACCCCAGAAGCACACCUCGAGACCAUGACUCAAGAGCAAGUACUUAAUUUGGAAGGUGAAGGAACUGCUGCCAAAAACAAAGCGGAAUUGUUCUAGGAAAUGAACUACUUGAACAGCGGAGGACACUUUGCCCUAUUUGAUAUGGAAAGCACAGCCAAGGGUAUGGAUAUCAGAGCCUCAGAGUUAGGAGCUGCUCCAAGCCUUCUUCCCUAGAUGCCUCACACCCCUCCUGGACAACUUCCAAGUAUCACAGCUCUGGAUGGCCGCUCAUCUUCUGUGUACAGACUCCAACCCAGCUGAAACCCAUUUCAUGAAAU
rnacentral:lncRNA from 1 species